AGACAGCGCUAUCGCGCUUCCACAGCCCGAACGGCAUCGAAGUAACGACUGAAUAAAACAAUCUUGUUACUAUAACUCACG
rnacentral:ncRNA from 1 species